rnacentral:rRNA from 1 species
AUUAGGUAGUUGGUGAGGUAACGGCUCACCAAGCCGACGAUGGGUAGCCGACCUGAGAGGGUGAUCGGCCACAUUGGAACUGAGAGACGGUCCAGACUCCUACGGGAGGCAGCAGUGGGGAAUAUUGGGCAAUGGAGGGAACUCUGACCCAGCAACGCCGCGUGAGUGAAGAAGGUUUUCGGAUUGUAAAACUCUUUAAGCGGGGACGAAGAAAGUGACUGUACCCGCAGAAUAAGCAUCGGCUAACUAC